rnacentral:rRNA from 1 species
UACGGAGGGUGCAAGCGUUAUCCGGAUUCACUGGGUUUAAAGGGCGCGUAGGCGGGCUAGUAAGUCGGUGGUGAAAUCUCCAAGCUUAACUUGGAAACUGCAGUGGAUACUAUUAGUCUUGAAUAUUGUGGAGGUAAGCGGAAUAUGUCAUGUAGCGGUGAAAUGCUUAGAUAUGACAUAGAACACCGAUAGCGAAGGCAGCUUGCUACACAAUCAUUGACACUGAGGCACGAAAGCGUGGGGAGCGAACAGG